rnacentral:rRNA from 1 species
UACGAAGGGGGGCUAGCGUUGCUCGGAUUUACUGGGCGUAAAGGGCGCGUAGGCGGACAUUUAAGUCAGGGGUGAAAUCCCAGAGCUCAACUCUGGAACUGCCUUUGAUACUGGGUGUCUUGAGUGUGAGAGAGGUAUGUGGAACUCCGAGUGUAGAGGUGAAAUUCGUAGAUAUUCGGAAGAACACCAGUGGCGAAGGCGACAUACUGGCUCAUUACUGACGCUGAGGCGCGAAAGCGUGGGGAGCAAACAGG